GAUGAAGAACGCAGCGAAAUGCGAUACGUAAUGUGAAUUGCAGAAUUCAGUGAAUCAUCGAAUCUUUGAACGCAUAUUGCGCUCUCUGGUAUUCCGGAGAGCACGCUUGUUUGAGUAUCAGUAAACACCUCAACUCCCUUUUCUUUUUUGAAAUUGGAGCUGGACUUGAGUGAUCCCAACGCUUUCUUCCAAGAAAGUGGCGGGUUGCUUGAAAUGCAGGUGCAGCUGAACUUUUCUCUGAGCUAUAAGCAUAUCUAUUUAGUCUGCCUAAAAAACAGAUUAUUACCUUUGCUGCAGCUAACAUAAAGGAGACUAGUUCUUGUGCUGACUGAUGCAGGAUUCACAGAGACAGCUUCGGCUGACUUUGUAAACUCGAUCUCAAAUCAAGUAAGACUACCCGCUGAACUUAAGCAUAUCAAUAAGCGGAGGA
rnacentral:misc_RNA from 1 species